GAUGAACGCUAGCGGCAGGCCUAACACAUGCAAGUCGAGGGGCAUCACGGAUUGCUUGCAAUCUGGUGGCGACCGGCGCACGGGUGCGUAACGCGUAUACAACCUACCUUUUGGAGGGGAAUAGCCCAGAGAAAUUUGGAUUAAUACCCCAUAGUAUAUAGGAAUCUCCUGAUUUUUAUAUUUAAACAUUUAUGGCCAUUAGAUGGGUAUGCGUCCUAUUAGCUAGUUGGUGUGGUAACGGCACACCAAGGCUACGAUAGGUAGGGGUCCUGAGAGGGAGAUCCCCACACUGGUACUGAGACACGGACCAGACUCCUACGGGAGGCAGCAGUGAGGAAUAUUGGACAAUGGGCGGGAGCCUGAUCCAGCCAUGCCGCGUGCAGGAAGACUGCCCUAUGGGUUGUAAACUGCUUUUACAGAGGAAGAACCACCCCCACGUGUGGGGGUUUGACGGUACUCUGCGAAUAAGGAUCGGCUAACUCCGUG
rnacentral:rRNA from 1 species